AUGUCCUGCGGAGGCUGCUCGGGAGCGGUUAAAAGGGUGCUCACCAAAAUGGAAGGCGUCGAGAGCUUCGACAUCGACAUGGAGCAGCAGAAGGUGACCGUGAAGGGCAACGUCAAGCCAGAAGAUGUUUUCCAGACGGUCUCCAAGACCGGGAAGAAGACCGCCUUCUGGGAGGCCGAAGCCACUCCUGCACCGGACGCUACCCCGGCCGCUCCUGCAGCGGAGGCAGCCCCGGCAGCAGACGCCGCGCCUGCACCGGAGGCUGCCCCAGCAGCAGACGCCGCGCCUGCACCGGAGGCAACCCCGGCCAACACCGUCGCUUGA
rnacentral:rRNA from 1 species